UUCAGAACUGUUCUUCAUUGCUGCUAGACAUUUAGAGCAGUGGCGGCAGCAGCAGCUACAGCACACGAAUAUGUGCAAGGAAGUGAAGAAACCAGGUGCCUCCAAAUGGAUUAAGUACAUGACAGAACAUGAAGAUGUUGAUAAUAUUGACAAAGGGUUGAGACCUGCUUUUGCUGAUGAUUUCAGAUUGAUGCGUGGUUAUAAACUUGAAAAGGAAGGUAUUGAUCAACCUGUUGAGGAAGAUAUCCACCCAGAUUUCUUGUAGUUCCUAAGUGCAAAAUCGAUAUAUCGGUGAAAAUUUCUUCCCAUUUUCAGAGAUUUUGAUAAAUUGCUAUACUCUGAUUCAUACUUUGGUUAUUAGUUUCAAUAAAGGGCCUUUGAAUUGCAUUUGAAAAUUGAAAGUCAAUUGAUUCUAAAUAUGAUAUCUCUAGUACUCUAAAAUCAGAUCAUCAAUUAUAUGAGAUACAGAUUAAAUCAGCAUUUUAGGACAAGUAAUUUGACUGUGCAUCAAACAGUAUUAUUUGACACUGCAUCAUGAAUAAGCUUUAUUAUUCCGUGUGCGAGAGCGAGCUACUCUGAUCACAAACUUCAGGAUUUAAGGUAGCUGAACGAAGAACUUUCAGGGCCUCGUCAACUUUCAUUUUGAGAGAAUCUGGAAACUCAAUCAGAUGUAGUACUUCUGUUUGAUCCAUCUCAAGCAGCAUGCUAGUGAUUUUUCUUGCAUUUUCAGGCGCAAUUUGCUCCAUCAAUCAGAUAUAGUUGUUUGAAGAGCAGCAAUGAAGAACAGUUCUGAAAUGAAGAAGGAAGGUUUGCUUAUUAAAGGGUCACGUGCGUCACACGUGAUAGUCAAAGGACUUUGAAAACUUAGGAGACAACGUAGAUUACUCCAGUAGAUUUGUUACGGAUAGGGAAUCUGUUUCCUUAGAUGAAUUACAUAGUUGGGCCGAUGCGAUAGCAAUAAUAAUUGAUUUUCAAUUUACACAUGCUUCUUGUAAACAAAAAGAAGGAUGUUCUAGAGUUAGUGUGUAUUUUUACAUAAUCUAGAUAAUGCUGCCCGACCUGGUUCUAAAAGUAGGAGUUGUGUGUGUAAAUUUUUGAUUGUAGCAAGUAGUCGUAAACCAGGAGAAAGACAUUGGACGGUAAGGAUGUGUACUUGUGAAAAAGAAAGACAUAACCACCCGUUGUUACUGUACAAAGAUGGUUAUGUAAGGGCAAAUAGGAUCAAUGUAGAUAUUCGGGAGCACAUACGACAGCUUAGUGCAACCGGCAUGCAACCGGCCUUUAUCAUGACUUCUAUUAGAGAAAAUUUUCCUGGUUUUUUUACUAGUAUGAAUCAGAUUUAUAAUGCUAGGCUAUCAAUAAGGAGGGAAGAGAUGGAGGGUAGGACUCCCCUUCAACACUGUCUUUAUAUGGCCACAGAACUUAAUUACGUGGUCUGGACAGACUUGGAUAAUGAAGGGGGAUUGAUCAGAUUAUUAGUUGCAAAUCCUACCUCUAUCCAAAUGAUACGUAAGUGGUCGUAUGUUGUGUUGAUAGAUACAACAUACAAAAGAAAUAAACAAAAGUGGCCACUGUGUGAAGUGAUCGGAAUGACGCUAACCAAUCACAACUUCUUGGUUGCGUUCUGUUUGAUGCGAGAUGAGGCGGCUGUGUCAUAUUCGUGGGUGUUGCAGGGAUUGAGAGAUAUUUUUGGCACAGCUCAGACUCCUAGCGUCAUUGUAACCGAUUGAGACAAAGGUUUAUUUGCAGCUAUUCGUAACGUCUUCCCAGAUAUGCGGCAUUUGUUAUGCAUUUGGCAUAUUGCAAACGACAUUGAGAACAUGGUGGACAAGUUGUGUGACGGGAAUAGAAAUCAACAAGGGCAGGUAUUCAGGAAAAUUAGACGGAACCUCUUGGUUGAAAGUUCUACAAUCGACGAAUUUGAACAGAGAUGGCAAUCGAUCGUGACUAACUAGUCGGUUAGGAACAAAAAGGUCGUUCGGUAUUUGGCUGGAACAUGUAUUCCACUUAGAGAGAAAUUUGUGCGUGCGUGGACGAAUGAAUGUUUACACAUGGGUAACCAGACUACCAGCAGAGUUGAAAGCCAACGCUCGUCUUUCAAGUAUUAUCUUGGUAGCGGUAAUAGCUCAUUUGAAAGCCAACACAAAACGUGCGACUGAACCGCGGUCGAGUCGUGGAUGUCGUGCGACUGAACUAGGGUUGGCUCGCAGAUUUCAUGCGACUGGGUUAUUUUAUUUUUAUUUUAUUUUCUUUUUUUUUAAAAAAAUUAUUAUUAAUACGAUUCGAAUAAAAAUUAGCUCGAUUAUUUAUUUGCGGAUUGAAUUUCUUAGUUUUUGCUCCAAAAAUUUGAUGUUGUAAUUUUGUUUUUUAAGUGUGA